rnacentral:rRNA from 1 species
AUUGAACGCUGGCGGCAGGCCUAACACAUGCAAGUCGAACGAGUGGCGGACGGGUUAGUAAUGUCUGGGAAACUUCCCGAUGGAGGGGGAUAACUACUGGAAACGGUAGCUAAUACCGCCUACCAUCGGAUGUGCCCAGAUGGGAUUAGCUAGUGGGUGGGGGAACGGCUCACCUAGGCGACGAUCCCUAGAUGGUCUGAGAGGAUGACCAGCAACAAGGGAACUGAGACACGGUCCAGACGCCUACGAGAGGCAGCAGUGGGGAAUAUUGCACAAUGGGGGCAAGCCUGAUGCAGCCAUGCGGCGUGUAUGAAGAAGGCCUUCGGGUUGUAAAGUACUUUCAGCGAGGAGGCGUUACUCGCAGAAGAAGCACCGGCUAACUCCGUGCCAGCAGCCGCGGUAAUAC